UUAAGCGACUAAGCGUACACGGUGGAUGCCCUGGCAGUCAGAGGCGAUGAAGGACGUGCUAAUCUGCGAAAAGCGCCGGCGAGGUGAUAUGAACCUUUGACCCGGCGAUGUCCGAAUGGGGAAACCCAGUGUGAUUCGUCACACUAUCGUUAACUGAAUACAUAGGUUAACGAGGCGAACCGGGGGAACUGAAACAUCUAAGUACCCCGAGGAAAAGAAAUCAACCGAGAUUCCCCCAGUAGCGGCGAGCGAACGGGGAGCAGCCCGGAGUCUGAAUCAGCUUGUGUGUUAGUGGAACGGUCUGGAAAGUCCGACGGUACAGGGUGAUAGUCCCGUACACGAAAAUGCACAGGUUGUGAACUCGAAGAGUAGGGCGGGACACGUGGUAUCCUGUCUGAAUAUGGGGGGACCAUCCUCCAAGGCUAAAUACUCCUGACUGACCGAUAGUGAACCAGUACCGUGAGGGAAAGGCGAAAAGAACCCCGGCGAGGGGAGUGAAAAAGAACCUGAAACCGUGUACGUACAAGCAGUGGGAGCCUACUUGUUAGGUGACUGCGUACCUUUUGUAUAAUGGGUCAGCGACUUAUAUUCUGUAGCAAGGUUAACCGUAUAGGGGAGCCGAAGGGAAACCGAGUCUUAACUGGGCGUUAAGUUGCAGGGUAUAGACCCGAAACCCGGUGAUCUAGCCAUGGGCAGGUUGAAGGUUGGGUAACACUAACUGGAGGACCGAACCGACUAAUGUUGAAAAAUUAGCGGAUGACCUGUGGCUGGGGGUGAAAGGCCAAUCAAACCGGGAGAUAGCUGGUUCUCCCCGAAAGCUAUUUAGGUAGCGCCUCGUGAAUUCAUCUUCGGGGGUAGAGCACUGUUUCGGCUAGGGGGCCAUCCCGGCUUACCAACCCGAUGCAAACUACGAAUACCGAAGAAUGUUAUCACGGGAGACACACGGCGGGUGCUAACGUCCGUCGUGAAGAGGGAAACAACCCAGACCGCCAGCUAAGGUCCCAAAGUCAUGGUUAAGUGGGAAACGAUGUGGGAAGGCACAGACAGCCAGGAUGUUGGCUUAGAAGCAGCCAUCAUUUAAAGAAAGCGUAAUAGCUCACUGGUCGAGUCGGCCUGCGCGGAAGAUGUAACGGGGCUAAACCAUGCACCGAAGCUGCGGCAGCGACGCUUAUGCGUUGUUGGGUAGGGGAGCGUUCUGUAAGCCGUUGAAGGUGGCCUGUGAGGGUUGCUGGAGGUAUCAGAAGUGCGAAUGCUGACAUAAGUAACGAUAAAGCGGGUGAAAAGCCCGCUCGCCGGAAGACCAAGGGUUCCUGUCCAACGUUAAUCGGGGCAGGGUGAGUCGACCCCUAAGGCGAGGCCGAAAGGCGUAGUCGAUGGGAAACAGGUUAAUAUUCCUGUACUUGGUGUUACUGCGAAGGGGGGACGGAGAAGGCUAUGUUAGCCGGGCGACGGUUGUCCCGGUUUAAGCAUGUAGGCGGAGGUUCCAGGUAAAUCCGGUACCUUAUUAACGCUGAGGUGUGAUGACGAGGCACUACGGUGCUGAAGUAACAAAUGCCCUGCUUCCAGGAAAAGCCUCUAAGCAUCAGGUAACACGAAAUCGUACCCCAAACCGACACAGGUGGUCAGGUAGAGAAUACCAAGGCGCUUGAGAGAACUCGGGUGAAGGAACUAGGCAAAAUGGUGCCGUAACUUCGGGAGAAGGCACGCUGAUAUGUAGGUGAAGCCCCUGCGGGUGGAGCUGAAAUCAGUCGAAGAUACCAGCUGGCUGCAACUGUUUAUUAAAAACACAGCACUGUGCAAACACGAAAGUGGACGUAUACGGUGUGACGCCUGCCCGGUGCCGGAAGGUUAAUUGAUGGGGUUAGCGGCAACGCGAAGCUCUUGAUCGAAGCCCCGGUAAACGGCGGCCGUAACUAUAACGGUCCUAAGGUAGCGAAAUUCCUUGUCGGGUAAGUUCCGACCUGCACGAAUGGCGUAAUGAUGGCCAGGCUGUCUCCACCCGAGACUCAGUGAAAUUGAACUCGCUGUGAAGAUGCAGUGUACCCGCGGCAAGACGGAAAGACCCCGUGAACCUUUACUAUAGCUUGACACUGAACACUGGUCCUUGAUGUGUAGGAUAGGUGGGAGGCUUUGAAGCGUGGACGCCAGUCUGCGUGGAGCCGACCUUGAAAUACCACCCUUUAAUGGCUGGUGUUCUAACGUAGACCCGUGAUCCGGGUUGCGGACAGUGUCUGGUGGGUAGUUUGACUGGGGCGGUCUCCUCCCAAAGAGUAACGGAGGAGCACGAAGGUUAGCUAAUCCUGGUCGGACAUCAGGAGGUUAGUGCAAUGGCAUAAGCUAGCUUGACUGCGAGAGUGACGGCUCGAGCAGGUGCGAAAGCAGGUCAUAGUGAUCCGGUGGUUCUGAAUGGAAGGGCCAUCGCUCAACGGAUAAAAGGUACUCCGGGGAUAACAGGCUGAUACCGCCCAAGAGUUCAUAUCGACGGCGGUGUUUGGCACCUCGAUGUCGGCUCAUCACAUCCUGGGGCUGAAGUAGGUCCCAAGGGUAUGGCUGUUCGCCAUUUAAAGUGGUACGCGAGCUGGGUUUAGAACGUCGUGAGACAGUUCGGUCCCUAUCUGCCGUGGGCGCUGGAGAAUUGAGGGGGGCUGCUCCUAGUACGAGAGGACCGGAGUGGACGCAUCACUGGUGUUCGGGUUGUCAUGCCAAUGGCACUGCCCGGUAGCUAAAUGCGGAAGAGAUAAGUGCUGAAAGCAUCUAAGCACGAAACUUGCCCCGAGAUGAGUUCUCCCUGAGACU
rnacentral:rRNA from 1 species